rnacentral:misc_RNA from 1 species
UCCGGUUUGUCACCGGCAGUCUCGCAUGAGUCCCCAACUUAAUGCUGGCAACAUGCGACGGGGGUUGCGCUCGUUGCGGGACUUAACCCAACAUCUCACGACACGAGCUGACGACAACCAUGCACCACCUGUAUACCGACCUUGCGGGGCGACGAUCUCUCGCCGUUUCCGGUAUAUGUCAAGCCUAGGUAAGGUUCUUCGCGUUGCAUCGAAUUAAGCCACAUGCUCCGCCGCUUGUGCGGGCCCCCGUCAAUUCCUUUGAGUUUUAGCCUUGCGGCCGUACUCCCCAGGCGGGGCGCUUAAUGCGUUAGCUGCGGCACGGAGACCUUGGAAGGUCCCCACACCUAGCGCCCAACGUUUACGGCAUGGACUAC